UCCCUGGUGGCUCAGAUGGUAAAGCAUCUGUCUACAGUGCGGAAGACCCAGGUUCGAUCCCUGGGUUGGGAA
rfam:TPA: Bos taurus chromosome 9, whole genome shotgun sequence.